rnacentral:rRNA from 1 species
AUCGAACGCUGGCGGCAGGCCUAACACAUGCAAGUCGAGCGGAUGAAGGGAGCUUGCUCCUGGAUUCAGCGGCGGACGGGUGAGUAAUGCCUAGGAAUCUGCCUUGUCGUGGGGGAUCACGUCCGGAAACGGGCGCUAAUACCGCAUACGUCGUGAUGGAGAAAGUGGGGGAUCUUCGGACCUCACGCUAUCAGAUGAGCCUAGGUCGGAUUAGCUAGUUGGUGGGGUAAAGGCCUACCAAGGCGGCGAUCCGUAACUGGUCUGAGAGGAUGAUCAGGCACACGGGAAGUGAGACACGGCCCAGACUCCUAGGGGGGGACGCGGUGGGGAAUAUUGGGCGAUGGGCGAAAGCCUGAUCCAGCCAUGCCGGGUGUGUGAAGAAGGUCUUCGGAUGGGAGAGCGCUUUAAGUUGGGAGGAAGGGCAGUAAGUUAAUACCUUGCUGUUUUGACGGUACCAAGAGAAUAAGCACCGGCUAACUUCGUG